CAAUAGCGUAUAUUAAUGUUGUUGCAGUUAAAAGCUCGUAGCCGACUCUCGGGGCGGUGUCAGCGGUCCGCAGAAAUGUGAGCACUGUUGUCUCCGCCUCUUCCUUCUGGACACCAUGUCUUCUCUUAACUGAGCGGAUGUGGGGCCAGGCAUCGUUCAUCUUUGAACAAAUUAGAGUGUUCAAAGCAGGCCUCCGCCUGAAUACUUGAGCAUGGAAUGAUAUCAAUAGGUCCUUCCUCCCCGUUAUUGGUGAUGGGGAGGGAAGGAAAUGAGAAGGGAUGGUGGGCCAUUGCGUAGCUGCAGCGUUAGAGGUGAAAUUCGUUGGAUCGCUGCAAGACGAACAACAGCGAAAGCAUUUGGCAAGAACGUUUCCACCGGUCAAGAACGAAAGUUAAGGGAUCGAAGAUGAUCAGAUACC
rnacentral:rRNA from 1 species